GGAAGUGAACCAUCUCAGUACCCUCAGGAAGAGAAAGCAAAUGCGAUUCCCUCAGUAGCGGCGAGCGAACGGGGAACAGCCCAAACCGGUGACGUGCAAGCCUAGGGGCGUUGCGUCGCCGGUGUCGUGGGUCGGAAUCUGAGCUCACCCUAGCGGGCUCAGGGAGUCAAAAAGCGGCGUGCUAGUCGAAGUGAGUUGGAAAGCUCCGCCAAAGACGGUAACAGCCCGGUAGACGAAAGUGCUCCGCCUCCCGAAUCCGCACCCGAGUACCGCGGGACACGUGAAACCCCGUGGGAAUCUGGGAGGACCAUCUCCCAAGGCUAAAUACUCUCCUGCGACCGAUAGUGAACCAGUACCGUGAGGGAAAGGCGAAAAGAACCCCUACUAGGGGAGUGAAAUAGAACCUGAAACCGCAUGUCUACAAGCAGUGGAAGGGCCAUGUCGGUCCGGCUUCGGCCGGGCUCGACGGCCCGACCGCGUGCCUUUUGCAUAAUGAGCCGGCUAGUUAGUUUGUGCAGCAAGGUUAAGCCGAAAAGGCGGAGCCGAAGCGAAAGCGAGUCUGAACAGGGCGUUCAGUUGCACGGACUAGACGCGAAGCUGUGUGAUCUACCCUUGGCCAGGGUGAAGUAGGGGUAACACCCUAUGGAGGCCCGAACUAGUGGAGGUUGAAAACUCCUUGGAUGAGCUGAGGGUAGGGGUGAAAGGCCAAUCAAACUCAGUGAUAGCACGUUCUCCCCGAAAUAGCUUUAGGGCUAGCCUCAUGCGUUCACUGACGGAGGUAAAGUACUGGAUGGACUAGGGGGCUUCACCGCUUACUGAAUCCAACCAAACUCUGAAUGCCGUCAGUUCAGAGCAUGGGAGUCAGACAGUGGGGGAUAAGCUCCAUUGUCAAGAGGGAAACAGCCCAGACCGCCAGCUAAGGCCCCGAAGUGCAGGCUAAGUGGGAAAGGAUGUGGAGACGCCCUGACAGCCAGGAGGUUGGCUUAGAAGCAGCCAUCCUUUAAAGAAAGCGUAAUAGCUCACUGGUCAAGCGGCUCCGUGCCGAUAAUAUAACGGGGCUAAAGCCUGCCGCCGAAGCUGCGGAUUCCCGGCAACGGGAGUGGUAGGGGAGCGUUCCAUGCGGAGUGAAGGUCGACCGUAAGGACGGCUGGACUGCAUGGAAGUGAUUCUGCCGGCACAAGUAGCGACAAUCCGGGUGAGAACCCCGGACGCCGAAAGCCUAAGGUUUCCUGAGGAAGGGCAGUCCUCUCAGGGUUAGUCGGGUCCUAAGGUGAGGCCGCCAGGCGUAGCCGAUGGACAGCAGGUCAACAUUCCUGCACCAGUUGACGCGCGUCAUACCGAUGGGGUGACGCGGAAGGGCAAGCGUACGCACUGAUGGACGUGUGCGGCCGUUGGCGUAGGAGGAGCUCCAGGCAAAUCCGGGGCUCAUCAACUCCGAGGCCUGCGGGGAAGUGCGGCUUCGGCCAAACCAACUCGCUGACCCCAUGCCGCCAAGAAAAACCUCUAGGAAGCUCGUCAGCUGUCCGUACCGUAAACCGACACAGGUAGGCAGGGAGAGAAUCCCAAGGCGUAUGAGUGAUCUCUCGUUAAGGAACUCGGCAUAUUGGCUCCGUAACUUCGGGAUAAGGAGUGCCCCCGUCAGGUGAAGGGACUCGCUCCCUGAGCCGAGGGGGGUUGCAGUGACCAGUCCCAGGCGACUGUUUACCAAAAACACAGGACUCUGCAAACGUCGAAGCGGACGUAUAGGGUCUGACGCCUGCCCGGUGCCGGAAGGUUAAGAGGAGAGGUUAGCAUCUUCGGAUGCGAGGCUUUGAAUCGAAGCCCCGGUAAACGGCGGCCGUAACUAUAACGGUCCUAAGGUAGCGAAAUUCCUUGUC
rnacentral:rRNA from 1 species